AACGAACGCUGGCGGCAGGCUUAACACAUGCAAGUCGAACGGGUGUAGCAAUACAUCAGUGGCAGACGGGUGAGUAACACGUGGGAACCUUCCUAGGGGUACGGAACAACUCAGGGAAACUUGAGCUAAUACCGUAUACGUCCGUGAGGAGAAAGAUUUAUCGCCCUUAGACGGGCCCGCGUCGGAUUAGCUAGUUGGGGGGGUAACGGCCUACCAAGGCGACGAUCCGUAGCUGAUCUUAGAGGAUGAUCAGCCACACUGGGACUGAGACACGGCCCAGACUCCUACGGGAGGCAGCAGUGGGGAAUCUUUGACAAUGGGCGCAAGCCUGAUCCAGCCAUGCCGCGUGAGUGAAGAAGGUCUUCGGAUUGUAAAGCUCUUUUGCCAGGGACGAUAAUGACGGUACCUGGAGAAUAAGCCCCGGCAAACUUCGUGCCAGCCGCCGCUGUAA
rnacentral:rRNA from 1 species